UACGUAGGGUGCAAGCGUUGUCCGGAAUUAUUGGGCGUAAAGCGUGCGUAGGUGGUUUGUUAAGUCUGAUGUGAAAGCCCUGGGCUCAACCUGGGAACUGCAUUGGAUACUGGCUUACUAGAGUGCGGUAGAGGGGUGUGGAAUUCCCGGUGUAGCAGUGAAAUGCGUAGAUAUCGGGAGGAACAUCUGUGGCGAAGGCGACACCCUGGACCAGCACUGACACUGAGGCACGAAAGCGUGGGGAGCAAACAGG
rnacentral:rRNA from 1 species